rnacentral:rRNA from 1 species
AAACUCGGCAAAUUGCCCCCGUAACUUCGGGAGAAGGGGGACCUCUGUUGGUGAUGGGCUUUACGCCUGGAGCUGAUGGGGGUCGCAGUGGCCAGGGGGAAGCGACUGCUUACUAAAAACACAGGUCCGUGCGAAGUCGUAAGACGAUGUAUACGGACUGACGCCUGCCCGGUGCCGGAACGUUAAGGGGACCGCUUAGCCGACGUGAGUUGGCGAAGGUGAGAACUUAAGCGCCGGUAAACGGCGGUGGUAACUAUAACCAUCCUAAGGUAGCGAAAUUCCUUGUCGGGUAAGUUCCGACCUGCACGAAUGGCGUAACGACUUCCCCGCUGUCUCAACCGCAGACCCGGCGAAAUUGCACUACGAGUAAAGAUGCUCGUUUCGCGCAGCAGGACGGAAAGACCCCGGGACCUUCACUACAGCUUGACAUUGGCGUUUGGAACGUCUUGUGUAGGAUAGGUGGGAGACUGGGAAGCUGUCACGCUAGUGAUGGUGGAGUCAUUGGUGAAAUACCACUCUGGUCGUUUUGAACGUCUAACUCUGGUCCGUGAUCCGGAUCGGGGACAGUGUCUGGUGGGUAGUUUAACUGGGGCGGUUGCCUCCUAAAGAGUAACGGAGGCGCCCAAAGGUUCCCUCAGCCUGGUUGGCAAUCAGGUGUUGAGUGUAAGUGCACAAGGGAGCUUGACUGUGAGACUGACAGGUCGAGCAGGAGCGAAAGCUGGGACUAGUGAUCCGGCAUCGGCGUGUGGAAGCGGUGUCGCUCAACGGCUAAAAGGUACCCCGGGGAUAACAGGCUGAUCUUCCCCAAGAGUCCAUAUCGACGGGAUGGUUUGGCACCUCGAUGUCGGCUCGUCGCAUCCUGGGGCUGGAGUAGGUCCCAAGGGUUGGGCUGUUCGCCCAUUAAAGCGGUACGCGAGCUGGGUUUAGAACGUCGCGAGACAGUUCGGUCCCUAUCCGCUGCGCGCGCAGGAGACUUGAAGGGGGCUGUCCCUAGUACGAGAGGACCGGGACGGACGAACCUCUGGUGUGCCAGUUGUACCGCCAGGUGCACGGCUGGUUGGCUACGUUCGGAAGGGAUAACCGCUGAAAGCAUCUAAGCGGGAAGCUCGCCUUGAGAUGAGGUCUCCCACCACGAGAGUGGGUAAGGCUCCCGGUAGACGGCCGGGUUGAUAGGCCGGAGGUGGAAGCACGGUAACGUGUGGAGCUGACCGGUACUAAUAGGCCGAGGACUUGACCAC